rnacentral:rRNA from 1 species
CGGUGUUCAACUGGCGUGUCCGCGGGACGUCCUGCCGGUGGGCUUAGCCCGCAAGGGCGGCCCCAACUUCAAAUCCCAUCGCGGUGCUCUUCACUGAGUGUCGAGGUGGGCCGGCACGUUUACUUUGAACAAAUUUGAGUGCUUAAAGCAGGCUAAAACUUCCCCUGAAUACUGUGUGCAUGGAAUAAUGGAAUAGGACCUCGGUUCUAUUUUGUUGGUUUUCGGAACCCCGAGGUAAUGAUUAAUAGGAACGGAUGGGGGCAUUCGUAUUGCGACGUUAGAGGUGAAAUUCUUGGAUCGUCGCAAGACGGACAGAAGCGAAAGCAUUUGCCAAAAACGCUUUCAUUGAUCAAGAACGAAAGUUAGAGGUUCGAAGGCGAUCAGAUACCGCCCUAGUUCUAACCAUAAACGAUGCCAGCUAGCGAUCCGUCGACGUUCCUCCGAUGACUCGACGGGCAGCUUCCGGGAAACCAAAGCUUUUGGGUUCCGGGGGAAGUAUGGUUGCAAAGCUGAAACUUAAAGGAAUUGACGGAAGGGCACCACCAGGAGUGGAGCCUGCGGCUUAAUUUGACUCAACACGGGAAACCUCACCAGGCCCGGACACCGGAAGGAUUGACAGAUUGAGAGCUCUUUCUUGAUUCGGUGGGUGGUGGUGCAUGGCCGUUCUUAGUUGGUGGAGCGAUUUGUCUGGUUAAUUCCGAUAACGAACGAGACUCUAGCCUGCUAACUAGGCGUAUCUUCGACAUCUCAAAGGUCCGUCGUCCCGGCCCUCGGGUCGUGGGCGUGCGCGAUUUUUACUGUCGGCGUACUAUCAAUUCUUCUUAGAGGGACAGGUGGCUUCUAGCCGCACGAGAUUGAGCAAUAACAGGUCUGUGAUG